rnacentral:rRNA from 1 species
AUGAAGAAUGAAAUACUUGGAGAUAGGCUACCAAUUCGCGUAUCACAUAUAGUAGCAGAGACUCAGCAUGGGGGUCUGCCGCUUGAAGAGAUGCAAAUGUUGCAACUUCACCAGAGGUUCUAUGUUGGAGUUCUGUGUGUCGGUGGUUCAAGUUCACAAGGAUUGGCACCAUGGACUGGAGAAUCGUCGCAACCAUCAUGGACACACCAGGGGCAGGGGCUGCAUGCAGCCAAGUCCGAGGCGGCUGCCAAGAAGACUGGGCUCGAUGUAGUGACCGAGGAGGCGCAUGCCGCAGGAGAAGCCGAUUAUUCUGUUUGCACGACGGGUAUCCAAAAUUCUAAUUCAGACAUUAGUGAUGAUAUAACAAUGCCGUCCGCCAAAUUGUGA